UACGUAGGGUGCAAGCGUUAAUCGGAAUUACUGGGCGUAAAGCGUGCGCAGGCGGUUUUGCAAGACAGAUGUGAAAUCCCCGGGCUCAACCUGGGAACUGCAUUUGUGACUGCAAGGCUAGAGUACGGCAGAGGGGGAUGGAAUUCCGCGUGUAGCAGUGAAAUGCGUAGAUAUUAGGAGGAACACCAGUGGCGAAGGCGGCUUGCUGGACGACAACUGACGCUGAGGCGCGAAAGCGUGGGGAGCAAACAGG
rnacentral:rRNA from 1 species